rnacentral:rRNA from 1 species
UUGAACGCUGGCGGCAUGCCUUACACAUGCAAGUCGAACGCGAAAGGGGGCAACCCUGAGUAGAGUGGCGAACGGGUGAGUAAUACAUCGGAACAUACCCAGUAGUGGGGGAUAACCAGUCGAAAGACUGGCUAAUACCGCAUACGACCUACGGGUGAAGGCGGGGGACCGCAAGGCCUCGCGCUAUUGGAUUGGCCGAUGUCCGAUUAGCUUGUUGGCGGGGUAAAAGCCCACCAAGGCGACGAUCGGUAGCUGGUCUGAGAGGAUGAUCAGCCACACUGGGACUGAGACACGGUCCAGACUCCUACGGGAGGCAGCAGUGGGGAAUUUUGGACAAUGGGCGCAAGCCUGAUCCAGCCAUUCCGCGUGAGUGAAGAAGGCCUUCGGGUUGUAAAGCUCUUUCAGCAGGAACGAAACGGUCGGCUUUAAUAAAGUCGGCUAAUGACGGUACCUGCAGAAGAAGCACCGGCUAACUACGU